AGGAAAAAUGAAGUGGACGGCAUAAGUUUGUGUUGAGCGUACCAAGAUAUCUAUAUACACAAGAAAAGAAUGUAAAGAAGAACAAACUACUUUUUUGUUUUAAUUAACUUUCAAACUUUAUUAAAAAAAUUUUUUCUUCAAUAAACUUUUAAAAAUAGAA